rnacentral:rRNA from 1 species
GGGUUGUAGCUGGCUCUCCGGAGCAUGUGCACGCCUGUCUUGACUUAAUUCAUCCACCUGUGCACUUUUUGUAGUCUUGGAGGUUGAGAGCAGUCGACUAUCGGAUGGCUGUUAUGGCCUUUCCGGAUGUGAGGAAUUGCUGAGUGCAAAAGCAUACAGCUCUUCUCAAAAUGACUCGCAAUACCUCUCCUUCAAGUACUAUGUAUUCAUAUACCACAUAGUAUGUUGUAGAAUGUGAUCAAUGGGCUUAUGGCCUAUAAUAAUGAAAUACAACUUUCAGCAACGGAUCUCUUGGCUCUCGCAUCGAUGAAGAACGCAGCGAAAUGCGAUAAGUAAUGUGAAUUGCAGAAUUCAGUGAAUCAUCGAAUCUUUGAACGCACCUUGCGCUCCUUGGUAUUCCGAGGAGCAUGCCUGUUUGAGUGUCAUUAAAUUCUCAACCCCUCUAGCUUUUGCGAGCUACGAUGGGGCUUGGAUGUUGGGUUUGCGGGCCUUUAUUAAUAGAGGUCGGCUCUCCUGAAAUGCAUUAGCGGAACCGUUUGCAGUCCCGUCACUAGUGUGAUAAUUAUCUACACUGUGAUGAUUGCUCUCUGACUAGUCCAGCUGCUAAUCGUCCACUAUCGGACAAUACUUAAUGAACUUCUUGACCUCAAAUCAGGUAGGACUACCCGCUGAACUUAAGCAUAUCAAU